AUACGGAGGGUGCAAGCGUUAUUCGGAAUCACUGGGCGUAAAGGACGCGUAGGCGGGUUGGCAAGUCAGAUGUGAAAUCCUACAGCUUAACUGUAGAACUGCAUUUGAAACUGCUAACCUAGAGUAUGAGAGGGGGAGAUGGAAUUAGUGGUGUAGGGGUAAAAUCCGUAGAUAGCACUAGGAAUACCGAAAGCGAAGGCGAUCUCCUGGAACAUAACUGACGCUAAGGCGUGAAAGCGUGGGGAGCAAGCAGCAUUAGAAACCCCAGUAGUCC
rnacentral:rRNA from 1 species